AAUAGAUACCCCGGUAGUCCACGCCGUAAACGAUAAGUGCUAAGUGUUAGAGGGUUUCCGCCCUUUAGUGCUGAAGUUAACGCAUUAAGCACUCCGCCUGGGGAGUACGGCCGCAAGGCUGAAACUCAAAGGAAAUUGACGGGGGCCCGCACAAGCGGUGGAGCAUGUGGUUUAAUUCGAAGCAACGCGAAGAACCUUACCAGGUCUUGACAUCCUCUGACAACCCUAGAGAUAGGGCUUCUCCUUCGGGAGCAAAGUGACAGGUGGUGCAUGGUUGUCGUCAGCUCGUGUCGUGAGAUGUUGGGUUAAGUCCCGCAACGAGCGCAACCCUUGAUCUUAGUUGCCAUCAUUAAGUUGGGCACUCUAAGGUGACUGCCGGUGACAAACCGGAGGAAGGUGGGGAUGACGUCAAAUCAUCAUGCCCCUUAUGACCUGGGCUACACACGUGCUACAAUGGACGGUACAAAGAGCUGCAAGACCGCGAGGGUGGAGCUAAUCUCAAUAAAACCGUUCUCAGUUCGGAUUGUAGG
rnacentral:rRNA from 1 species